rnacentral:rRNA from 1 species
CUGGUCAGGACGAACGCUGGCGGCGUGCCUAAUACAUGCAAGUCGAACGCUUUGUUUCACCGGAGCUUGCUCCACCGAAAACAAAAGAGUGGCGGACGGGUGAGUAACACGUGGGUAACCUGCCCUCAAGCGGGGGAUAACACUUGGAAACAGGUGCUAAUACCGCAUAACAAUCAGAAUCGCAUGAUUUUGAUUUGAAAGGCGCUUUUGCGUCACUUGAGGAUGGACCCGCGGUGCAUUAGCUAGUUGGUGAGGUAAUGGCUCACCAAGGCCACGAUGCAUAGCCGACCUGAGAGGGUGAUCGGCCACACUGAGACUGAGACACGGCCCAGACUCCUACGGGAGGCAGCAGUAGGGAAUCUUCGGCAAUGGACGAAAGUCUGACCGAGCAACGCCGCGUGAGUGAAGAAGGUUUUCGGAUCGUAAAACUCUGUUGUUAGAGAAGAACAAGGGUGAGAGUAGAAUGUUCACCCCUUGACGGUAUCUAACCAGAAAGCCACGGCUAACUACGUGCCAGCCGCUGC